GGGUUGUGAGGUUAAGCGACUAAGCGUACACGGUGGAUGCCCUGGCAGUCAGAGGCGAUGAAGGGCGUGCUAAUCUGCGAUAAGCGCCGGUAAGGUGAUAUGAACCGUUAUAACCGGCGAUACCCGAAUGGGGAAACCCAGUGUGACUCGUCACACUAUCAUUAACUGAAUCCAUAGGUUAAUGAGGCGAACCGGGGGAACUGAAACAUCUAAGUACCCCGAGGAAAAGAAAUCAACCGAGAUUCCCCCAGUAGCGGCGAGCGAACGGGGAGGAGCCCAGAGCCUGAAUCAGCAUGUGUGUUAGUGGAAGCGUCUGGAAAGGCGCGCGAUACAGGGUGACAGCCCCGUACACAAAAGCGCAUGUGCUGUGAGCUCGAUGAGUAGGGCGGGACACGUGGUAUCCUGUCUGAAUAUGGGGGGACCAUCCUCCAAGGCUAAAUACUCCUGACUGACCGAUAGUGAACCAGUACCGUGAGGGAAAGGCGAAAAGAACCCCGGCGAGGGGAGUGAAAAAGAACCUGAAACCGUGUACGUACAAGCAGUGGGAGCCCCACCACUAAGCCAGUGGUGAACUCCACAUACGCAUCCUUUGCUGAGGAUACGGUUAACGGAGCGCAAGCGACGUUCAACCGCAAAAGAAGCAGAGGGGGCUUAGUGGUGGGGUGACUGCGUACCUUUUGUAUAAUGGGUCAGCGACUUAUAUUCUGUAGCAAGGUUAACCGUAUAGGGGAGCCGGAGGGAAACCGAGUCUUAAUUGGGCGUUAAGUUGCAGGGUAUAGACCCGAAACCCGGUGAUCUAGCCAUGGGCAGGUUGAAGGUUGGGUAACACUAACUGGAGGACCGAACCGACUAAUGUUGAAAAAUUAGCGGAUGACCUGUGGCUGGGGGUGAAAGGCCAAUCAAACCGGGAGAUAGCUGGUUCUCCCCGAAAGCUAUUUAGGUAGCGCCUCGUGAAUUCAUCUCCGGGGGUAGAGCACUGUUUCGGCUAGGGGGCCAUCCCGGCUUACCAACCCGAUGCAAACUGCGAAUACCGGAGAAUGUUAUCACGGGAGACACACGGCGGGUGCUAACGUCCGUCGUGAAGAGGGAAACAACCCAGACCGCCAGCUAAGGUCCCAAAGUCAUGGUUAAGUGGGAAACGAUGUGGGAAGGCCCAGACAGCCAGGAUGUUGGCUUAGAAGCAGCCAUCAUUUAAAGAAAGCGUAAUAGCUCACUGGUCGAGUCGGCCUGCGCGGAAGAUGUAACGGGGCUAAACCAUGCACCGAAGCUGCGGCAGCGACACUGUGUGUUGUUGGGUAGGGGAGCGUUCUGUAAGCCUGUGAAGGUGGCCUGUGAGGGUUGCUGGAGGUAUCAGAAGUGCGAAUGCUGACAUAAGUAACGAUAAAGCGGGUGAAAAGCCCGCUCGCCGGAAGACCAAGGGUUCCUGUCCAACGUUAAUCGGGGCAGGGUGAGUCGACCCCUAAGGCGAGGCCGAAAGGCGUAGUCGAUGGGAAACGGGUUAAUAUUCCCGUACUUGGUGUUACUGCGAAGGGGGGACGGAGAAGGCUAUGUUGGCCGGGCGACGGUUGUCCCGGUUUAAGCGUGUAGGUGUGUGUUCCAGGUAAAUCCGGUUCACUUUAACACUGAGGCGUGAUGACGAGGCACUACGGUGCUGAAGCAACAAAUGCCCUGCUUCCAGGAAAAGCCUCUAAGCAUCAGGUAACAUCAAAUCGUACCCCAAACCGACACAGGUGGUC
rnacentral:rRNA from 1 species